rnacentral:rRNA from 1 species
UGGUGGAGUGAUUUGUCUGGUUAAUUCCGAUAACGAACGAGACCUUAACCUGCUAAAUAGCCAGGCCGGCUUCGGCUGGUCUCCGGCUUCUUAGAGGGACUGUCGGCGUCUAGCCGACGGAAGUUUGAGGCAAUAACA